AUUGAACGCUGGCGGCAUGCUUUACACAUGCCAGUCGGACGGCAGCACAGAGAAGCUUGCUUCUUGGGUGGCGAGUGGCGAACGGGUGAGUAACAUAUCGGAACGUACCGAGCAGUGGGGGAUAACUAAUCGAAAGAUUAGCUAAUACCGCAUAUCUUCUGAGGAAGAAAGCAGGGGACCAUUUGGCCUUGCGCUGUUUGAGCGGCCGAUAUCUGAUUAGCUAGUUGGUGGGGUAAAGGCCUACCAAGGCGACGAUCAGUAGCGGGUCUGAGAGGAUGAUCCGCCACACUGGGACUGAGACACGGCCCAGACUCCUACGGGAGGCAGCAGUGGGGAAUUUUGGACAAUGGGCGCAAGCCUGAUCCAGCCAUGCCGCGUGUCUGAAGAAGGCCUUCGGGUUGUAAAGGACUUUUGUCAGGGAAGAAAAGGGCGGGGUUAAUACCCCUGUCUGAUGACGGUACCUGAAGAAUAAGCACCGGCUAACUACGUG
rnacentral:rRNA from 1 species